rnacentral:rRNA from 1 species
UGGGGAAUAUUAGUCAAUGGGGGAAACCCUGAACUAGCGACGCCGCGUGAAGGAAGAAGGUCUUCGGAUUGUAAACUUUUGUCUUCAGGGACGAAGCAAGUGACGGUACCUGAGGAGGAAGCCACGGCUAACUACGUGCCAGCAGCCGCGGUAAUACGUAGGUGGCGAGCGUUGUCCGGAAUUACUGGGUGUAAAGGGUGCGUAGGCGGGUAUGCAAGUCAGGUGUGAAAGCCCAAGGCUUAACUUUGGGAGUGCAUUUGAAACUGCAUAUCUUGAGUGGGGGAGAGGUAAGCGGAAUUCCCAGUGUAGCGGUGAAAUGCGUAGAUAUUGGGAGGAACACCAGUGGCGAAGGCGGCUUACUGGACUCUAACUGACGCUGAGGCACGAAAGCGUGGGGAGCAAACAGG